UCCCUGGAGGACUAGUGGCUAGGCCUUGGCCCUCUCACCACUGUGGCCCGGGUUCAAUUCCUGGCCAGGGAA